CAUACAUCCAUCGAGUAGCAUCCUCGGGCAUCGUUUUCACAGAGACGAUGAUGCUGCGCCGAUCAUGUGCCGCUGGUUACGCCCACCCCACUGCGCUUUUAGACGCGCCGCCUCGCUUUUGAUGGUAAUUACAGGCAUGGCUUUGCGCUCUUUCCUCUUACUGCGCCUGGGGGUGCGCGGCCCGCAAUGUCCUACACUGACGAAGACUAAGUGUGAAAAACGACGACCACAUCUGUAACGGACGUUUCGCCAGCGGAGAUGUAGCGAUUAAAAUCAGCCUUUACCUUUGUCAACGACGCAGCAAGAAAGCACGUAUUUGGAGCGAUGGCACUAUUAAAGCUCCUUUGAUUUCA